rnacentral:rRNA from 1 species
UACAGGGGGGGCAAGCGUUGUUCGGAAUUACUGGGCGUAAAGGGUCUGUAGGUGGCUUGCUAAGUCAGACGUGAAAUCCCUCAGCUUAACUGGGGAACUGCGUCUGAUACUGGCAAGCUUGAGUGCAGGAGAGGAACGCGGAAUUCCAGGUGUAGCGGUGAAAUGCGUAGAUAUCUGGAGGAACACCGGUGGCGAAGGCGGCAUCCUGGACCGAUAUUGACGCUGAUGCGCGAAAGCCAGGGGAGCAAACGGG